rnacentral:rRNA from 1 species
GCGCUUAAAGAUGGGUGUGCGUCCCAUUAGCUAGUUGGUGAGGUAACGGCUCACCAAGGCGAUGAUGGGUAGGGGGCGUGAGAGCGUGGCCCCCCACACGGGUACUGAGACACGGACCCG